rnacentral:ncRNA from 1 species
CUUAUGAAGAGUGGUGGAGGGACUGGCCCUGUGAAGCCCGGCAACCUGUGGGAACCCCGCAAGGUGCCAAAUCCAGCGGUAUUGCCGAGAGAUGAGG